rfam:Chelonia mydas contig225539, whole genome shotgun sequence.
CUGCUUCGGCAGCACAUAUACUAAAAUUGGAACAAUACAGAGAUAAUGUGCAUGGCCCCUGAGCAAGGAUGGCAUGCAAAUUCAUGAAGCAUUCCAUAGUUUU